CAUCCCGCCUAAUCCGCCCCAACCACCAACAUAUAAAAAUUGUGGACAAGUUGUGUGCGUUUUGAUUGGUUUGGCAUACCAAUUCGGGCACACCCUAGAUCUACUGCAUGUCCUCGAAGGCCCACAGGGUCUGUGAGACUGACAAGCAACUUAUUCGGCUGUCCCCGCAUUUCGAUUUUGCCUUCCUCACUCUUCAAUUCUUAGAGAGAGAGAGAGAGAAAUUGGGUUAUUCCAAGGAUCAGUUGCUUGCAAUCUGCAGAAUCUGUGGACAGAUGAAAGGUGCAUUGAUUAAAGCUUCAUUCUUGAAGCUAUGAUUUUGCAAGACUAGGAAAGAAAUCUUCUAGCUUUACCCUUGCAAUAAAUUUAAAUGUCCUUUUAAUUCCCCUAUAUCUGUGAUAGUACUUGCACUUGCUUUUUUGUGCAGAUAAAUAACAUAGGUUUUAUAUUGUUUCUGCUCUGGUGAAUACAAAGGUAGAUCUUAAAGGUCUAUAUGUUUUCCUAAUUCUUAUCACUUCAUUGGUUCAAAGCUCAACUUUGAAUUUACAGAUGCCGCUGGACUCAUUUAUAUAUGGUCAUAUUAUUGGUUUUUAGUUUAUGCAUUGUUUCUAGUUUCCUUCAUUCUAUUGGGUGAUAUCUGUGGGCCUUGAAGCUGAGCAGCUGUUCUUGGAGGCUUGGCUUGGGUAGAGUAGCUUUGAGAAUGGCUACCCAGGAAGCUUUGGCAGAAAUACUUCAGCAAUGAGUAGAUCUCUUUGUUGCAGACAUUGUUCAACACAGUGUAUACGGAAGGCUUCCAUGCCAGUACGAAGGACAAAUCCAAGCAGAUGUUCAUGAUGAUCAGAUAAUAGAACCCUCUGACAUGGGUAUGAAACUUUUUAAAUUACAGAAAUACCCAUUAGGCUAUGUUGUAACGCGUCAGCUUGAUUUGAGCCUGUAAUUGUUCGAGUUCAGUUUGUUUAACUCGGCACACGAAUGAGCCUUCUAAUGAGUCAAGCACAAGUUGUCCAUGAUUGAUGACUCAGGCUCAUUUGUGGUCCUAAAGUGACUUUAUGUGAACAAAAUGGAGCAGAAAUACAUUUAAGUUGCAUAGAGCCUGAGCAGAUGUGUGUGUGUGUGUGUGUGUGAGAGAGAGAGAGAGAGAGAGAGAGAGAGGUGAUUUCUGUCACUAAACCUGCACAUUGUAUGUAUACUCAUUAUGUUUCUUCCACUAGAAAACUUGAAAGUUGUUUGUUUGUUUUA